GAUGAAGAACGUAGCAAAAUGCGAUAAGUAAUGUGAAUUGCAGAAUUCAGUGAAUCAUCGAAUCUUUGAACGCACCUUGCACCCUUUGGCAUUCCGAAGGGUAUGCUCGUUUGAGUGUCAUUGUACUCUCACACUCCCAAUUGCUUUGGAUUGGGAGCGGUGGACUUGGAUGUUGCUGCUUGACUGAGGCUCACCUGAAAUAUGUUAGUGCACCUCUUGAUUGGACAUAGUACGGCGUGAUAAGUGUCUUCGCCGGCUCCUCGCAAAGAGGGUGGCCGAUCGGGAGCUCUGUUGCUUCAAACUGUCUUCGGACAAUCUUCUGGCGACUUGACCUCAAAUCGAGUAGGACUACCCGCUGAACUUAAGCAUAUCAAUAAGCGGAGGA
rnacentral:misc_RNA from 1 species